rnacentral:rRNA from 1 species
GUCUACGGCCAUACCGUCCGAUCUUUGAAGUUAAGCAGCGUUGGGCUCGGUUUGUUUUUGGAUACGUGACCGCCUGGGAACACCGAGUGCUGUAGAUU